rnacentral:lncRNA from 1 species
GUUCCAGCCAAGCAAAUAUAGAAGUAGAGGUAUUCUAGACUAUGUACACACGGAUGUAUGGGGUCCGGCUUCUGUCACUUCCAAAGGCGGUUCCAGGUAUUUUGUUACAUUUGUUGAUGAUUAUUCUAGAUAUGCUUGGAUUUAUUUUUUGAAGCAUAAGAAUGAGGUAUUCGACACUUUCAAGAAGUGGAAAGCAAUGGUUGAAAACAGAACAGGAAAGAAAUUGAAGAUACUGCGAUCUGAUAACGGUACUGAGUAUACAGAUGGUGCUUUCAAAGAGUUCUGUGGUAAGGAAGGCAUUGCGAGACACUGGGCAGUUAGAAAUACACUGCAACAGAAUGGGGUCGCGGAAAGACUGAAUUGCACAUUUCGAGAGAAAUUGAUGUGUAUGCGAUCCUAUGCUGGUUUGGGCAGAGAAUGGUGGGCAGAGUCGGUUGCAAAUGCCUGCUACAUAGUGAACCAGUCUCCACAUUCGAGGUUAGAUGGAGAUGUACCUUACAGGGUAUUGACAGGAGAACAUACAGAUUAUGAAAAACUCAGAAUAUUCGGAUGCAUAGCCUACUAUCAUGUCAACGAGGGAAAACUUGAUGUGAGGGCCAAGAAGGCUAUAUUCUUGGGGUAUGCGGCAGGUGUAAAAGGCUAUUGCCUAUGGUGUGUAGAGGAUUCUAAGUUCAUAAUCAACAGAGAUGUUACUUUUGAUGAGAACUCCAUGAUAGCUUCGUUGAAAGCUACAGUGCCUGGUGGUGAUGAUGUUGAGACUACAAAGUCUCAAGUUGUUGACAUAGAACAUAGAGAUCAACCUGGUUCUAGGCAUGUUCAAGAGGAGCAUCAUGUAGACACUCAAGAUGAGAGUGAUGAUGAGUUUGAACAAGAGGCGGUUCAGCAAAAGAAUGUACAGGCACAGCAAUAACAGUAGCUUGCAGAUAACUUGGCUUCCUCUAGGCCACGCCGUACUUACAAGCAAGUUCUAAAGUUGGGGUCAGACGAGCCUUUGAGGCACUAUGGGCAGACAAAUUUGGUUGAGUAUGCACUCUCGG